GUGAUCUUUACGAGUGCAAUUGGAAUAUAUCUCAACACUCCCGGAUCUCUCUACCCUUAAAUCAGAUUUGGCAGCAGCUCGAAACGAGGCUAUCGAGGCCAAGCAGGAACAUGACCAGCUGGCAGAGAAGAUUGAUCAACUUCGGGCGGAGCUUGAUGGGAUCAAACCCAAACUCAAAACCCUCCAAGAAACGACAAAUGGUGUUGUUGCUGAGCGGGAUGCUCUUAAAGAGCAGCUUCGGGUAGCAAUGGAGCAAGUUAAGGAACUCAGGUCAGCACUUGCUGCGGCCGAGGCGGAGCGGGAUAGCCUUGGCCUGGACAUUACCGAUCUGCGGGCUGAACAUAAAAAAUCCCUUGGCUAAAUCUUGAGCUACGACGGUAUGUUGGACCAGUAUAAAGCCGACGUGACCGCCGCCGAGAAGGCUAGUGAUUUUCGGGCCGAGUACGUGUGGUGUUUAUCUCGAAGAGAGGCCCUCGAAGAAAUUCAAGCCACCGAAAUCGAUUUAUCAGAUCUAAUCAAGGAGACAAAGAGGCCUCAGGUAAAGACGAAGGCUGUGUUCGAUCCUAAGGAUUCGGAUAACGAACUCGAGUCAGCCGAGGAAGAGACCGAAGGUUCGGGUGAAGAUUAGGCUUAGGAGCCUUAUGUUUCUUUUUGUUAUAAAGCCGUUUGUUUGAGCCUUUGUAAAUCCUCUAUAUAUAUAAAAAAAUAUUUUCAUUCGGCCAAUUCAUCGCUUUUCGUUGCCUUUUAUGAAGUGUUCCUCAGUUUGAUGUU